AUCGCUUCUCGGCCUUUUGGCUCAGAUCAAGUGUAGUAUCUGUUCUUAUCAGUUUAAUAUCUGAUACGUCCCCCAUCGGGGGACUACAUAUUAAAUGGAUUUUUUCUAACAGGGAGUCGGAAAUGGUGCUUGCUC
rnacentral:snRNA from 8 species